GAUUGAAACGUAUUUAUGCUUUAUUUAGAGUGGAUUGAGGCAAAGUUUGGAUGAACAAAUUUUUGGUCAAAAAUGGGCUAUUUUGGUAAGGCUAUAGACUUGCUUUUUUCACGAAAAUCCUCCUCAAAAACAUUGCUUUUAAGAGCAGAAAUAUUCUUUUAAUAAAGUUGAAGGCUGAUUUUAAUGUCUUUAUGGCUUAUUUAGUGUAGAUUGAGGCAGGUUUUGGGUGAAAAUAUUUUUGGUUUUAUUAGCAUAGAAGGUAAAAACUAAAAAACCCAAUGUGUGUGCCCCUUGUAUGUUUUAAGCAAUUGGCUUGUAAAUGGGCAGAAAAUGAUGAAAAGCAACUCAUCAGCCAAAAACCUACGAGGGACAUUUCGGAGCUUUAAUUCUGUAUGUCCGUUUCUCGUAGGCGCCCCUUGCAUUCCCGCGUUCAGGGAUCGCGGUUUCAAACGUGAGGAAAUACAGAUAAAAAAUAUAAUUAGUUAUAACUUUGAUUAAACUUGAUAUUGAUGAAGUUCAAUGAGCCAGAGCUAUCGGUUUGUAUAUGGUAUUAAUAUAUAUGAUGUAUGGUAACUGAGAGGUGCGAAGCUGCAAUAGUUUAGAAUAUAUCUUAGAGUAUCCUAUAAAUUGUUGGUUUUUUGAAGUUUUUCCUUGUUCUUUACUAGCCGUUCUGGUGGUUGCCCACUGAUCCACCAACAAGGAAUUGUCUAGUUUCCAUACUGCUCGACCUGAUAGUUAUAAAUAAGCAUGAUUAAUAGUCAUAAAUUAGUAUGAUUAAUUAUUUCAAGUAAAGGGUUAGCAGAAUUGUCUAGUUUCCAUACUGCUCGACCUGAUAGUCAUAAAUAAGCAUGAUUAAUAGUCAUAAAUUAGUAUGAUUAAUUAUUUCAAGUAAAGGGUUAGCAGAAUUGUCUAGUUUCCAUACUGCUCGACCUGAUAGUCAUAAAUAAGCAUGAUUAAUAGUCAUAAAUUAGUAUGAUUAAUUAUUUCAAGUAAAGGGUUAGCAGAAUUGUCUAGUUUCCAUACUGCUCGACCUGAUAGUCAUAAAUAAGCAUGAUUAAUAGUCAUAAAUUAGUAUGAUUAAUUAUUUCAAGUAAAGGUUCAGGGUUAGGGUUAGGGUUAGGGUAAGGGUUAGGAUUAGGGUUAUGUUUAGGGUUAGGUUUAGGGUAAACUAAUUACGUCAUCAGGUCGAGCAGUAUGGAAACUAGACAGCUCCUGCGACGCUGCGCAGUCCUUUGGGAAAUAGUUGUAGCCUCGGUUCCAACCUUGCAGCAAAACAUCUAGGCAGCAAAAGAACACGGAGGGAAUGACCACCAUGUUGCAUUGGACGAGGGGGAGGUCAUCAUGGGGGAAGGUCCAUAUUGCAGUUCCAUUCUCUUGUUUUUUGUCAACCAAUCUUGGCCACAUCUCUUCAACAUUAGCCUAAAGGCAAACUGCCACAAAGUACGAAGAAUGCUGUUCUGCUAAUGAAAUAGAAACAAGAUGGUUUCGACACGAACUUGGUUAUCAUCAUGAAGAAAAUCUCAGCAAAAUUGCUACGGUCGAGCAGUAUGGAAACUAGACAAUUCCGUGGCAAGGAGUGGACUGACGUCAGAGUUCUGAAUAGUUAUAAUGGCAGAUGGGAAAAAGAAAUAAAAUGGAACGAACCUAUCGCUCACAACACGUCCUUUGUUGCCAGGAAGGCGCCCCCUUGCUGCACCACGUGAUCUGGAAGAAAACAAUCUAGCCUGGAAUGGUUUGAUCUGGCGAGUGACUCAAAGGAAAUGUAACUUAACUACAAGGACGAUAAGACUAAGUAUUGAUCAGUAGUUAGAUAUGGGUCAGUUGGUGAUCGUGAAAAUAUGAAUGAUAUUUAAACACUUUUUGGUAGCUAAAAUAUCUCUCGGAAGACUAACACUAACAUUGAAGGCUCUUGGGUAACCGGCAUGCUCUGCGAUUAUAGUUUUAAAACCGGCCUAAUAUCGUACUGCAUGAAAAUCAAUUUUUCGACACAGCUGCCGCUAAGCAUGCUGGUUGCGCAACAGCAUUUACAUUUUCAAUGUCGUAUUCGGCAUAAACAUCUUGUCACAAGAGAAAAACUGUGACAAGAAUAUUUAGGCACAAAACUGGCAAAAUUCAAAAACUGAAAAAAAAUUAUAUAAAUAUGUCGAAGUUUAUCGACAUCAUAUCUUUCAAUAUUCAUAUAAAGGCAAUCCAAAGAUACUAAAGGGACUUUCAAUCAAGAAUUGACCAAUCCGUGAGUGUGAUUCCAUUCACGCGCUUCUUGAUUGGCUAAUUUUGAUUGACAGCUGGUUUGAGCCGCUUUUGUAUCUGUCCAAGUGUUUUUGAACAAGACGUUCAUGCAAAAAAUUUGCUAAACUCUGAUCUUGUACCAAAGCUUGCAUUGUGUUAGCAUAUUUCAUUUCGUAAAAUAUUUUUACAAUGAAGAAAGACCGUAGCAAAGACUUGAUCUCUCUCUGUGUAGAUUCACAUCAAAUUCACACAUUGUGUCGCAAAAGAACGAUUUUGUAAAUUAAUGAACUUCUUUCUUGAGAAUGAUUAGAGAAAAUUUUUCUGAACUUUCUGCCAGAAAACUUGAUUGUUUCUGCAAAGACCGUGUCCCUUGGCCAUUUCGAUGAUAGUACCUUGCCAAAGUUCCAAAAAGCAGAAAAUUUGAUAAACCACUUCAGAAAACUUACCUUAUUUCACCGCCUCGUUCACGUUGUUGAGAAGCCCCGUUCCCACUUUUCUUGGAUUUUGUUGGCUUAGGCCUAUAACGAGAAAACAUAAGUUGAACCAGCAAAGGAGAGCCGGGGUGGAUAAUGACGGAAAAGAGCUGGAAUGGUUUCCAUUGACUUUAAAAACAUUAAAGGCUCUUGUGCAACCGGCAUGCUUUGCGACUAUAUUUUCAAAACCGGCCUAAUUUCGUACUGCAAGUCAAUUUCUCAAUACAACUGCCGCUAAGCAUGCUGGUUGGGCAAGAGCCUUUAAGUGUCCCGUAUGUAGCAAACUUGCAAGAUAGCUUAAAAAGAGUUGCACCUAAAUAUGGUUCAAAUGCAUUUAACCUUGUCUAAGAUCAUCGUCUUGCACAGAAGGCAAAUUCUACGACCUUAGCAUGAACAACAAAUUAACACAGGCUCUUUUCUUAUCAAAUCAUUUUAAUCCGCUGUUGGUUCCUAAAUCUAUAAACCAGGCCACAGAAAAUGUAAUCCGUUGGCCAAAUACGAAUCUUUCAUUUGCCAUAUCUCAUCCUAUCUUUGUAACGGUUUGGCUUUAAUAUGUAAUCAAUAGUAAUGUUCCCGUUGCGUGUUAAAGUUACAUGUUCUGUUAAGUCCUGUUGUGUAGUGAACGUCUCUUAUGGCAAUGUGUUUGUCUUUCAACAUGCAGUGUGACGAUCGUAUUAUCCUGUUAAUUAGCUUCUGUUUAAGUUAGUCUUUCCGCAGUUUAAGUUAGUGAAGCAUCAGAGAUAACACCUAAGAAGUAGUAUAUUUUGUGCGUCACUUAUUCGGAGCCUAGGCCCUAUG